rnacentral:lncRNA from 1 species
GUUAUUCCGUUCCCUUCCCUUUUGGUAUCAGAGCCUCAGUAUCAUAUUAGUAUUAUCAUUAUGGUCCUAAAAACUUGCCUUACUGAAAAAUUUGGACUUGUCAAAAAGUUGAUUUAGUUUUGCCUUAUUAAUUAUUUUAACAUAGAUUUAAAUGCAUGUUUGUAUGCUUACAAUAAAGUAUUUGUUUAUACUGGAGACAUAGAAUUUGCUGAAACUACAAGAAAAUUAAUGGAAACAUAUCCUAUUACUUUCCAAAUUGGAUUAGCAAUUACUCCUUAUUUACCUCAAUUAGAGAGUAACUUUGGAAAAUUUUUAAUACACUUAAAGUGUGG